UACGUAGGGGGCAAGCGUUGUCCGGAAUCAUUGGGCGUAAAGAGCGCGUAGGCGGUCCGGUAAGUCGGUUGUGAAAACUGGGGGCUCAACCCUCAGAGGCCGACCGAUACUGUCGGGCUAGAGUCCGGAAGAGGCGAGUGGAAUUCCUGGUGUAGCGGUGAAAUGCGCAGAUAUCAGGAGGAACACCAAUGGCGAAGGCAGCUCGCUGGGACGUGACUGACGCUGAGGCGCGAAAGCUAGGGGAGCAAACGGG
rnacentral:rRNA from 1 species